rnacentral:rRNA from 1 species
UACAGAGGUCUCAACCGUUGUUCGGAUUCAUUGGGCGUAAAGGGUGCGUAGGCGGUCGCGCAAGUCGGAUGUGAAAUCUCAGGGCUCAACCCUGAAACUGCAUUCGAUACUGCGUGGCUAGAGUGCUGGAGAGGAGACUGGAAUUUACGGUGUAGCAGUGAAAUGCGUAGAUAUCGUAAGGAAGACCAGUGGCGAAGGCGAGUCUCUGGACAGCAACUGACGCUGAGGCUCGAAGGCCAGGGGAGCAAACGGG